rnacentral:rRNA from 1 species
CACGGGGGGAGCAAGCGUUGUUCGGAAUCACUGGGCGUAAAGGGCGUGUAGGCGGUUGGGUAAGUGGAAUGUGAAAUGCCCCGGCUCACCCGGGGACCGGCAUUCCAAACUGCUCAGCUCGAGUAUGGGAGAGGAUGAGGGAAUUCCUGGUGUAGCGGUGAAAUGCGUAGAUAUCUGGAGGAACACCGGUGGCGAAGGCGGCAUUCUGGACCGACAUUGACGCUGAGGAGCGAAAGCCAGGGGAGCAAACGGG